rnacentral:rRNA from 1 species
UACAGAGGGGGCAAGCGUUGUUCGGAAUUACUGGGCGUAAAGGGCGCGUAGGCGGCCUGUUAAGUCGAACGUGAAAUCCCCGGGCUCAACCCGGGAACUGCGUCCGAAACUGGCAGGCUCGAAUCCGGGAGAGGGAUGCGGAAUUCCAGGUGUAGCGGUGAAAUGCGUAGAUAUCUGGAGGAACACCGGUGGCGAAGGCGGCAUCCUGGACCGAGAUUGACGCUGAGGCGCGAAAGCCAGGGGAGCAAACGGG